GCUGGGGUGAGGCUCAGCACGCAGAGGCGGGGGACAAACCCAGUGCCCCUGAGGCACUCAUGAGCUUUUCUGUGUGAAGACAUAAAGCCAGGAGCGAGCUGUUUCACGCAUCUGCUCCACAGCAUUUCCGUCCUGCUGCCGCCUCUGGGUCGCAGAUCCAUGCCGUCUCCCCAGCGCCCUCUGCAUCACGUGUGGGGUGGGGUCUGGAGGGGCCACCCACUUCCUGAAGCACUGUGGACCUCACAGUGACAGUGAGUCCAGUGUUGCAGCCAUCCUUUGUGGAGGCCGCUUGGUGUCCACAGUCGGCAGCAGGGCGUGGAUCCCGAGGUCCCCGUGAGGUGAAGUUGCCAUGAUCACGACUGCCUGCGGCCACACCAGUUUCCUUCCCUCGGCGAGGUGUCACAGGAACAGCCCAGACUGCACUGCUGUACGUCUGAAUGAAUGACUGGAUCUCACUACGCACACUACAGGAAAGACAGAGGUGAUGGAAAGUGACAGUGGACAUCCGCCACGCCCACUAAGUGCCUAAGUCAGCACCCAGUCGACAUCCGUGGGCAAUGAGGCGACCCCUCGAGGCCUGCACUGGGGAAACUAGUGCAGGAUUCCCCCACUUUGGUCACUUGGAGCUGGGAAGCUGCAUCCCAUGGCACCUGAGAGUGAGGGGCCAGUGAGAGAGCUGACCAACCACCCUUCCCCGUGAGUCACGUCUUCUGCGCGACGCUAGAAGCUCCCCCAGGUCCACUUCCGCUGAACGCGCUGUUGACCCCAGCACCUUUCAAGUCACACUCCACCUGCACCGCCCUGCCACCGGGCUGCGUGACUAGAACCUGACCUGACCCGAGGAGAAGGGGCCGUUUAAUCCUGCGAGAUUCGACUUUUCUUAAGCACACUUUGCCAUCAUCUUCCUCUGUAACUUAUUGUUCCACAAAAACACAAAAGUCACUAUCAGCAAACUGUGGAUAAAGAUGACACAAAGAGAGAGGACUUCAAACUUCAGAUGGGUGGAGACCAACCACGGUGGUCCCGGAGCAGGCACGCUCUGCGGAACUCAGAUCCGCCUGGACAGAGGGCGGGUGGCCCAGGGUGUGGCAAUCAUGAUUGUGCCCAUCUCAUGUGGAAUAAGAGCAAACACACCAGUGGUGCCAUCUCUGUGCUGGGAGGUCACGGCUGCAGCCACGCUGGAUGGACUCUGCCCCCUGUUCUGAGACGCAGCCCUGCUUGGCUCCUCGGCUUCCCACUCUCCGGGUCUGGCUUUCUGCGGAGUAGUUGCAGCCUUCACAGAAGAGUUUCCUAUCACAUGCUUCAGCCGACAACCUCAGAACAGCUGAGCCAGGCUGUCCCAUCCUGCACAGAUCCCAGCCACUGCCGGAGCAGCCCAUUCCCGAGACGGCAGAGGACACAGCUUUGGUGUGCAACAGGAUACCAAACCAUGGGCGUGUGAACCGCGCCGACCUAGCUGAAAUUAGGCAUAAUUAUUAAGUUCACCUUAUCAUGACCUUGCUUUCUCAGAUACUGUCAGUGUUAAUGUGAGCUGUUUGUGCAUACCAAGAGGGGAAUAAAGAUCUCAUACAUAAAUAUGCAUUCUUAUUUUCAUCAUUU
ensembl:lincRNA